rnacentral:lncRNA from 1 species
CUUACUUAUAUAUAUAUAUACACAUAUGAAUAUAUACAUACAUACAUAGAUAUAUCAUAUAUAUAUAUGUAUAUGUGAACAAGUUUAUGUUUCGAACGCGCAUGCGUUCUGACGUAACGCACGUAGCACGUGCAUCGUUCCGUGCCAUUCAACGAUUCACGCUUAAUGUUAUGCACGACACGACUAUGACUAUAUGACUAUGAAGACUACUAUUACCGACUAUAUAACAUAGAACUACGAUCAUCGCGUUGAAGGUGAGAUCGAUGGAAAAACUACGACACUCGUCUAACUCAUUGCGUAUACUCGUGUUCAAUUAACCGUACCACGUGGCUCUUAGAAAUUUCUCCUUGACCGAUUCACUGGCUGCUCAACGCGAACGAGCUCGACUGGAACGACUAACAUUAUACAUCAUACUAUUGGAAUAGUUUGGAAAAAUAUCCAAUUCCCAUCAUAAAUGAAGAUCAUCAGAUGUCUAAUUAGUUAACAAUACUCAACAGUGGUUUAAAAACAACGUAUGACAUUCUUUUUAUAUUUUAUUUUUCAUAAAUUAAAUCUUAUCUAUUUUAGAAUUCAGAUUCUAACAUUUAACAAAAAUAUAAAAAUAAAAAACGUUCUGUACG